rnacentral:rRNA from 1 species
AACGUAGGUCACAAGCGUUGUCCGGAAUUACUGGGUGUAAAGGGAGCGCAGGCGGGAAGACAAGUUGGAAGUGAAAUCUAUGGGCUCAACCCAUAAACUGCUUUCAAAACUGUUUUUCUUGAGUAGUGUAGAGGUAGGCGGAAUUCCCGGUGUAGCGGUGGAAUGCGUAGAUAUCGGGAGGAACACCAGUGGCGAAGGCGGCCUACUGGGCACCAACUGACGCUGAGGCUCGAAAGUGUGGGUAGCAAACAGG